rnacentral:lncRNA from 10 species
UAAGGCAUUUGAUUCUUAAUUCUGCACCCUUAAAUUUGUAGCUUAAUACAGAAAGGAAAUCUAUAGCUAAGGAAACUGAGAAUUGGAGACAGCAGCUCAGUUGCUCCAGGUGGCACAGUUAAUAAGUGGCUGUAUCCAGACCAAAUCUGUGUGAUUCUCUCAGGUUGGGCUGUUUUCUUCAUAGCACUUGUUUCAAGAAGGGAGCACUUCCAUUUAAUGAUAAAAACAAAAACAACAACAAAAAAAAACCCUGUUGCUCCCAAAAAAAACAAAACCAAAAAAAACCCAAAAAAACCUGUUGCUCCUUGUGUUUGCUUAUGCUUUAAGGCCGGCCCUGCCAAAAGACUAAACAUUUCUGCUUCCAAGGUAAAAGGUUUGGUGGCAAUAAAUCAGUGUACAUAGGUGUGCCUCACUGUACAUUAGCAUUUCCCUGAAAAGGUGUGAGCUUUUUUUUUUUUAUUCAAUCGUUGUUUGUGCACAUUUUGAAGAAGUUUAUCUUCCUUUAUCAUGACUCUUACCAGCUGCCUCCCACAUUUCUUUUUUUUUACCUUUGUUUUCCCAGCUUCUCCAAAUACUUUUUUUUUUUUUCCUUUUGAGACAGAGUCUCACCCAGGCCGGAGUGCAGCGGCAUGGUCUCGGCUCACUGCAGCCUCCGCUUCCCGGGUUCCAGCGAUUCUCCUGCCUUAGCCUCCCAGGUGGCUGGAAUUACAGCCUGAAGCGUCCCCAGAGUUUCCACUCCAGGCCUGAGAUGAGUGAUUACCCAGCACAGAUUGUCUUAUUUAUUUGGAAGACUCUCCAGCUCAGUCCAGCUGCUUUUUCUUGGGACAGCAGACAGACCCUGGACAUGGUGCUCAGCAACUCAAUCUAUUGAAUUUCAAAACAUGUAGAGGUGUCGACAUAAGUCUCAAAACUCUGCACAGAGAAUCCCAAACCACAAGCUUGGACAUUUCCAAGGAAAGAAGCACAGGGUGGCAGGAUGAGGCAAGAGGCUGCUUACUCCAAGCCAAAUCUCAUGACCCAACCGCAUAGUCAUAAGAGGAGUGCGUUCAGUUGCUUUAGGAAACCAAGAGCAGUGAAAGAAAACACUUGGGAAUUUACUGGUAGAUAAGGUUUUUCUGAUUGAAGAAAAGGUACAAAGUAAUGCAGACCAAUGAUGGUUUCUGGGCAGCAUUAUGAUUAUGUCUUUUUAGGAAAAUGCCCCUUCUAGGGGACCUCACUUGCUGUCUGCCCACAGAUUUAUCUGGACUGAAUCUCGGUUACUAGUUUUUGCUUUCAAAGACCUCCUAUCUAGGGGAACAUUUGAAAGGAAUUUACCAAGUGCUUCCCUGCUGCAUAAUCUGUGUGUUCUGUGUUAACACUAACUUGCAUUUUGCAUGUGGAGCCAGAAGCUCUCUUCUCGGGAGCCUGGGUCAUACUGCUCCUUUAAAAAUGAAAGUGAGAGAGAGAGAGAGGCCACGCUGAUUUUAGAAUUGAGUCAGGGCUUUGUGAUUUAUAGAGUACGCAGGGUGAAUAGGCGUGGUUUCUAGAUAUCCACAGGCAAGUCUUACCUUAAAAGACACAGGACUUUGCACACGCCUUACAGAACAUUCAGAACAGAAGAAUCAAGGCUUGUAACUGAUGAGACUAAUAGAUAGAAUAUAUUAAACUGAGUAGAAUCUGGUGCCUAAAAAUUUACAUAAAAGUGGCCCAGAGAAUCCACUCAGCACAUGUCCUGGCCCACUCAGAAAUGAUGAAAUACAAAUAUUUAAAGAAAAAUCUGGAUUCCUUUGUGUGUAUUAAAAAUCCUCUCAAAUAUUCUAAAUGGAUGAAGUUUGGUCUUGGUGAGGGAUAGAGGGUCUGAGACAGUAUUAGCAGUUUUAUUUUUUGCCCAAGUUGUACAGUGCCUGCUUUAUCCAGGUUUCUGUGGAUUUUAUGUUGGGGGGAAGAAAGAAGCAAAAGAGCAGUGGGCCUGGUUAAUCCUUUUAUCAAGGUCACUCCACCACCAGCAUCUCAGAGGGAUUUCCAGGCCAAAAGCAAUCCUUUGUGUGUGUGUCUUACGAUAGUGGCAUGUCCUCAACUCCUUUGAAAGUAUGAGGUCAGGAGUUCGAGACCAGCCUGGCCAACAUGGUGAAACGCUGUCUCUACUAAAAAUACAAAAAUUAGCUGGGUGUGGUGCAGGCCUGUAAUCCCAGCUACUGGGGAGGCUGAGGCAGGACAAUGGCUUGAACCUAGGAGGCAGAGGUUGCAGUGAGCUGAGAUCAUGACACUGCACUCUAGCCUGGGCAACAGAGCAAGACUGUCUCAAAAAAAAAAAAAAAAGAAAGAAAGAAAGAAAAAAGCAAGAAAGAAAGCUAGCUGUUUCCACAGUGAUCAACUCCAUCAACUGUCAUGGACAAGUACAAGUUGGACCUAAGCUGUGCAUCGUUUUUUUUUUUUUUAAACCAGGCUUGUUUCCUGGAUAAUUUCCCUUAGAUAUAUUGCUGUGUCAAUUAGAAAUCAUAUUUAUUUUCACUUAUGAAAAAGACGUCUGGAGAUGUGCAAUCUAGGGCUGCAGUCUUUCUUACCUUUCUAUUUUCCCUUGUAGGGGGUGUCCUUGAUUUGCAUUCUUACAAGGUGGCUUCAAGAGCAUAAGCUACCAAGUUAGAGGUCCAGAUGGAGAGAAAGGUGAGCAGGGAGAGGAACAGGGCAUGAGCCAGCCAAGUCAGCUUAAAAGCUUUCAUAAAAGCCGCACCCAUAGAUUCCUGCUAACAUCUUAUGUGCCAGAACUAUGCCAGUUAACCCUACCCUCCAGCAACCUGCAUCGGGACUGGAAAUACAGCUGUAUUUUUUUUUUUUAUAAACCCGAACACAUUGUUUUCCAAUUAGGAAUUUGUUAGGGAAAAGAAGAUGAUGGGAGAGUCGAUGAAAUGGAAAUUUAAAAAAUCCACCUUACUAUGUUAUUGUGGGGAUUAAAUCCAUGCAUCAAUCACUUGAUAAUACUCACUAAUCUGGUGGCACAUGAAAAUAAUAUUUUCUUCUCUCUCCUUAGUCUUACUCACUUCUCC